GCCAUUUUCCAAUGAUGCAUGUACUUUCAGAAAACAGCACUUGAGCUCACCACGCUUGCCUUUCAACCUGGGAGACGACCCGGGUUCAAUCCUUCGUCGGACCUCUGACUCAAGGUCUUCAAAUAAUUGAGGAGAAAGAGCUACCUUUACAUUAACAUCGGUAAAUGGUUAGACUUUCGUGUCUUCUCCCCUAUCUCCCCUUUAUUGGUCAAUAGCCUGUCAGGAAAUACGCUCACUAAUCAGUGAGAAACUCAAACUUAUAAUGUUAAUUUGCAUGGCGACUCAUUAUAACUGUUAGAUUAUAGGUGCCAAGCGAAACAGCAGAC